UAGGGAAUCUUCGGCAAUGGGGGCAACCCUGACCGAGCAACGCCGCGUGAGUGAAGGAGGUUUUCGGAUCGUAAAGCUCUGUUGUAAGUCAAGAACGAGUGUGAGAGUGGAAAGUUCACACUGUGACGGUAGCUUACCAGAAAGGGACGGCUAACUACGUGCCAGCAGCCGCGGUAAUACGUAGGUCCCGAGCGUUGUCCGGAUUUAUUGGGCGUAAAGCGAGCGCAGGCGGUUUGAUAAGUCUGAAGUUAAAGGCUGUGGCUCAACCAUAGUUCGCUUUGGAAACUGUCAAACUUGAGUGCAGAAGGGGAGAGUGGAAUUCCAUGUGUAGCGGUGAAAUGCGUAGAUAUAUGGAGGAACACCGGUGGCGAAAGCGGCUCUCUGGUCUGUAACUGACGCUGAGGCUCGAAAGCGUGGGGAGCGAACAGGAUUAGAUACCCUGGUAGUCCACGCCGUAAACGAUGAGUGCUAGGUGUUGGAUCCUUUCCGGGAUUCAGUGCCGCAGCUAACGCAUUAAGCACUCCGCCUGGGGAGUACGACCGCAAGGUUG
rnacentral:rRNA from 1 species